UUUUUUCGUUUCCUAAAUUUCUUAUUUUUGUCCUUGCAAGUGGUCCUGUCUGGUGUGAACCGUCAGCACAGAUGGCCUCCUGGAGCUUCCCCGAGUCGUUCGCUGGGGGAAGCGGGCGGUGAGCGGCCAGCCCGGGCGCUCCGCAGGCCGCGAGCUCCCGGCAGGGCUGGUGGCGGGGGUCCGCCUGGGGGAGGAAUCCCCGCCUGCUCCAUCGGACCCGGCCUGGCGCGGCUCGCGGCGCUCGGCGGGCUCCCUUCCAUUCUAGAAUCUUCCCGCUUGCUUCCCAGCCCGCGUUCUUCCGCCUGCCUUUAAUUGUAAUUUACAGGAUUAAGGAGUUUGGGGAAGUCGCAGAGCUGCAGCGGAAAGGCAGGGGUCUGAGACUACUUUUGAGAAGAGAAACAACGCAAAACGAUCGCUGGAGGGCCAGAGCCCUGGUCGAAGGUGCCCUAGCUUUUAUGACCUGGUUAAUUGUGUCUCCUUUUUAUUUUUAUUUUUUUCCUUACCACUACUACUACUACUACUUUUAUUUUUUUUUAACCGAUACACUUUGGAGAGAAGAAGCAGACACAGGUUCCCACGGCGUCUGACGCCUGCGGAGCAAGUCCAGAGCCAGCUGGACUCGCAGCCUCUGGCCCGGCGGCACCAACUCCUCACUGGGUCAUUUUGAGCGCGCUGUGCCCACCUUUUCUGUUGCGUGUGGACGUGGGGAGGAUCUUCUAAGUCCCUCCAACGAAGGCAAGUGUGAGACUCUGGCCCUUUAUUUGUAAGAAGCAAGCCUUCAGAUUGCAGAAGUGUCGCGCGGGUCGCCGUGCGUUGCGCGAGUGGGAAGAUGGAGGAGGCCGGCACGCUGCUUUCGUGGACGCAAGUGAACCGGGCGUGAAGGCAGGGUGCGAGCUCUGCCCUUGGCCCAGCCCUGCGUGGGCGCCGUCCCAGAUUCCGGGCGGUGCGGGGUGCAGAGAUCUGGAGAGACUUGCGGGCUCCCCAGCGCAGGCUGCUCUGGGAUUUCGUUGGAAGAUCCGGCAGAGCCUUGGAGGAGAGGGCCCGGGAGGCUGUGUGUGCAGCGGAAACUUGUACGAAUGCCCCCACAGCGGAAAUGGUGCGCACGAGUAAUUUCUGCGGUGCACCCUUUUAAAAAUUGACAAGUGAACAAGAUCAAUUUUUUAAGAAAGCAAAGGUAGAAAACAAAAGGCGUGCGACUUCUUGACUGGCUUGUUCCCGCCUUUCUUCCUUCUCUAUACUCAGAUCAGAAACUUUUCUUUAAUUGCUCUUAUUCAGUGCGACAACUUUUAAUAAAAGCAUUUGCAUUUUAA
rnacentral:lncRNA from 1 species